AUUGAACGCUGGCGGCAUGCUUUACACAUGCAAGUCGAACGGCAGCACAGGGAGCUUGCUCCCGGGUGGCGAGUGGCGCACGGGUGAGUAAUACAUCGGAACGUGUCCUGUUGUGGGGGAUAACUGCUCGAAAGGGUGGCUAAUACCGCAUGAGACCUGAGGGUGAAAGCGGGGGAUCGCAAGACCUCGCGCAAUUGGAGCGGCCGAUGCCCGAUUAGCUAGUUGGUGAGGUAAAGGCUCACCAAGGCGACGAUCGGUAGCUGGUCUGAGAGGACGACCAGCCACACUGGGACUGAGACACGGCCCAGACUCCUACGGGAGGCAGCAGUGGGGAAUUUUUGGGACAAUGGGGGGCAACCCUGAUCCAGCCAUGCCGCGUGCAGGAUGAAGGCCUUC
rnacentral:rRNA from 1 species